rfam:Citrus sinensis cultivar Ridge Pineapple sweet orange scaffold00511_contig_7, whole genome shotgun sequence.
AUACAAUGAUGAGGACAUCUUCUGAGUAACUCCUAAAAUCUUUCCCAUGCAUCAUACAAGCUCUCAUCUUCAAGUUGAUGGAAAGAUGUAAUCUCAUUCCUCAAUUU